GCCAUAGGUUAAUGCAAGUGUUUAACAGAUGCUUCGCUAUUAAAAUAUUUUUCCCCAAUACUGAAGAAUCUUAAACCAGCAACCCUAACAGAGAUUGCGAAGAUUUUCAAAGUAGGGCACCUCGAUUUCUCAAAUCUGUGGUGUGGCGAAUAUCCGUGUUCCUCCUGCUUAACUAGCCUGUUUGAAGGCACAGUUCAUUCUCGAGCAAUUCGUCACCUCCUGGGGGUCUUCUCUUCCGGUCUACAGGAGAGUGUGACUUCAGAAAGAACUUCGGAUUGGCCAAGGCAGGUCUGAUUCUAUUUUAUUCUAAAGACAGAGUUGGAGAUGGGCUACCAUUGGUGUUGACUGAGAUGUCAAGCAGUCACCUGAAAAGCAAUAGAAAAGCCUGAAAAGUAAGUAGAAAAGCACUAGAGAGAUGGCUCAGCAGUUAAGGGCACUGACUGCUCUUCCAGAGGUCCUGAGUUCAAUUCCCAGCAAUCACAUGUUGGCUCACAAACAUCUGUAAUGGGAUCAGGUGCCCUCUU
ensembl:processed_transcript